GACCCGACAAGAGCCUGUCCAUCCCUUCACCUCCACUAAGAUCAGGGCACUCCAGGAGUCUUGGCAGGGCCACCCCAGCCUCUGCUCUGCCCUGGAAAGUCCUCGUUUCACACUGACUCAGUUUCAGUUUUGGAAGGAAGUCAGAGGUUGCCUCCAUGUCCCUUCUCUCCACUGGUUCUCUGGAACCCUCCAUCAUAGAUGUCCCCGCCCUUCCUUCCCCUGUCAGGAGCAAAACUCCCGCCCCUCCAGGAGCUGGCCUCUCUAAGUCUUCUUGUAUCAGGCCAGGCUCAGCCCUGGAGGCCACAGCUCAGGCCCUGGGCCAGCCGAAGGGGCAGGGCAAGGAACCUACAUUGUUCUGUGCCCAGCCCCUUUAAGAGGCCCAUACAGACAAGAGCAAAUUCAGUAGGUUGAGUCAUCCACUCUAUAGUGAUUAAGCAGGGAUGGUGGAGAAGGAGAGAGUGUCAGCUCUGGAACCAGGUGGCCUUAGAUUGAAAUCCUAGCUCUGCUAUUUACCAGCCGGGUGGCCUUGGGUAGAAUGUGAGCAUGGAGUCUGGAGCAGGAGCAGCUGUUGUGCACUGUGAGGUUGAAGCCGUGUGUUGAGAAUAGCAGAGCAACAAAGCAAUAGGACCUGGAGCCCCCAGGGGCCAUGAAGCCCCUACCAGCCCUGCACUGCUUAGAUUUACUUGAGCAAGAAAUAAACCGUUGAUUGUUUAAACCAG